rnacentral:rRNA from 1 species
AACUUUGGACAAUGGGGGAAACCUUGAUCCCGCAAUGCCGCGUGCAGGAUGAAGGCCUUCGGGUUGUAAAUUGCAUUUGUACGGAACGAAAAGUCUCCGGCUCAUACGCUGGGAUCAUGACGGUACCGCAAGAAUAAGCACUUGCUAACUACGUGCCAGCAGCCGCGGUAAUACGUCGGGUGCAAGCGUUAAUCGGAAUUACUGGGCGUAAAGCGUGCGCAGGCGGUUUUGUAAGACAGUGGUGAAAUCCCCGGGCUCAACCUGGGAACUGCCAUUGUGACUGCAAGGCUGGAGUGCGGCAGAGGGGGAUGGAAUUCCGCGUGUAGCAGUGAAAUGCGUAGAUAUGCGGAGGAACACCGAUGGCGAAGGCAAUCCCCUGGGCCUGCACUGACGCUCAUGCACGAAAGCGUGGGGAGCAAACAGG